GGCUGGCUCACCAGCAGGCUUGUCCUGGCUGAGGAGCUCCCGGAUCCGUUCUUUGUUAACAGGAGGGGACUAGCCUCUUGUUACGCCACGGUCUCUGCAGCAGUAUCAACCCCCACUUUCCAUCCUCACUAGAUUCAAAAGGCCACGGGAAUCGCCAAGGAGAGGCCUUCCUGGGCUGCUGGUGUGCGGAGGAUUCCAAUUAACUGCCCUUGCCCAGCCCCUGCCAUCUCCUAGGUGGAGCACUUGACUGCUUGGCUAGUAAGUGAUCCAUGGACAUGAUGCAAGGAUUUUGAUGAGCUCUGUUACCUCCAGGUCUCAGUCUCAACUGAUCUGCAACUAACUGCAGUAGAAACCUGGCAACCCAGUGGAGAGGUAGUGAGACCUGCCACUUGGAGGAACUGAGAACCAGAUUCCGUACACCAGGCUGUGCUCAGCUGCUCCGUGUGUGUUCGGCCUGCCGGGGACUUCUGGCAUUCAGGUGCAACAGGAGAAGCUUUUAAAGAUGUCCAACACAAACAUCCCCACAUGAGAAAGAGCGAACACAGGUCACUGAAACAAAGGAAAAGGUGGAGGGGUGCACACACACAAAGGGAGCAUCCAUCUGAGAGACGGAGAAGCAAAAUGUCAGCGGGAAAAACCACAACCCGGUUCCCAAAGACUAUGAAAGCUGAUCUGAUGUAAAGACUCAACUAAAACCGGAUUCUACAGCAUUCUACAGAAAUACACAGCCGUCAGUCACUCUGGGUUGUAGGUUAGACAGGGGCUUGAUACAGAAAGGCUGUGUGUCUUACAAAGGCCAAAAGGUCAUGCUACCAGGAGAUCAACGUCAACAGCAAAGAGUCCGUGAAGCAGUCUGUAGAGAGAGAGAUAAGGGGUCCAGUCUGACCAUUUUCCUUGAUUUAAAACACCAACCAACCAACCAACCAACAAACCCUCCAACAUGUUUAAUAAUGUUGAGGUGGGGCAAGAUGGGGCAGCAUCGCAGGGGGAUCAGGAAUCCAGGGGAAGCCUAGCUCAGGCCUCCUGGGAGGCCUCACCCCUCGGGACCCUGACCCAGCCAGGUCUGCAGAUCUGCCCUCCCCUCCGCCACUUCCGCCACUUCCGCCACUUCCGCCCCUUCUCCACAUCACUCCCCUUCUUUUUCCCCGCCCUCUUGGAGGGGGAGCCCUUCUGGAGGGGAGGAGCAGCUUCAGCUCUGCACUGUGACCUUGUGCUUUGCACGGCCCCUCCCCUCAGCUGCUUGCAGAAAGCAGCCGGAGUCUCCCUUUUCUCUGACUCUUGCCUUGUUAACAUGAAUAAAGAAUACUCAGGAGACAGACAGUGGACUGGUCGGAGCAAUGAUUCUUCUAAAUUCUUGAAAUUAACCACCUCUACCACCCAAAAGAGAAGCAUCCUUAAUUUUUCUGUUGGGAGUACAGGGCAGGGAGACAUUUGGGGUGUUGGCCAUUUUUUAAAGGGUUUUGGAAUUUGCACAAGAGCAGGACAGAACUGACAGCACACAGCCUCAGCGGGUGGAAGCAGAGGAAAAGGCUGGACUAAGGCUAGGCCUUUCCUUGCCCUCUCCCUGCUCACAGAAAUGGGUCUCAGAGUGUAAAAUCACGUGGCUGUUCUUAAAAGGAUGGACUCCCAAAUCAGGACUGCCACCGUGACGUGUGUGUGUGUGUGUGCACACAUAAGUGCAUGCUCAGGUGCUGUCCCAGGAAAACCUUGAUGAUCAAUGGAAUGUCGGUCAGUUCUGUCUGAAGCUCCUUCUAGUACAAACUAAAAAAAACUUUAUAUUUGUCUGUCUAUAUAUAAGGUUUGUUAUGCCUUUUUAAAGUUUAUUUACCAACUUGCAUUUGUUUGUUUGUUAGUGGGGUGUGUGUGUGUGUAUGUGUGCAAGCUUUUCUGUGAAUGCUGGAAUCAAUCAUUACCAAAUAGGUUGCUAUACAGGACAAGAGGUCAGUACAAGCCGCAGCCCCGGAGGUUGUUGGCAAUGAUGAUGUCAGUGACGGCGUCGAAUACCACCUGGAUAUUAUUCGUGUCUGUGGCACAAGUCAUGUGACAAUAAAUUUCUUUGUUGGGUGA